UUUGGGAAAUGAUGCUAAAAUUUUGAGCAGAAGCAGUAGCUCUGUUGAUUUAAUUUUUGAUUUGCACGUCAGUCUGAUCCCAAG
rfam:Lupinus angustifolius cultivar Tanjil chromosome LG13, whole genome shotgun sequence.